AAAUACCCCUGAGCUCCCUUUUUCUCUCUGAUCUCGUGAAAUGGUCUGUAUCGAUGGAAGCCAACAGGAAGCUCGAGAGCCCCAGAGGGCCCGUGGAGUCCAGCCUCCAAGGAAGGGCAAAGGGUAGUAAGAAGGAGGAAAGGCUUCUCCUCUCCCCCCUCAAGGACACGGGAGCCUUCCUAGAAAAGAAAUGAAGAGCCAAAGAAGCGGAUUGGCCUGAGAGUUUUAUACCAGUUCCACAAAGAACAAUACAGUGUGGAGAUGUGCCAAGACGAAGGGAGAAGAGGUUAUUCACUGGAAGAAGACUUCACGCGAGUUUCCCAUAAAACCUCGAGUCUUAUGUUUUGGCAACACAAGAGAGACAGAGAGAAGGUUGGAUCUGCCUGCUUUGAGUCCUCUGCCAAAAGCCGACUCCGAGCUCUCUGGAGAAGCAAUGCUUUCAAAGCCAGCGAAGUGCCAGGCGCCGGAGUCCCAAAGCGAAGCGGCGGGCUCGCGAAGAACGCGUUCACACAAACUACCCCCGGUGGUGGGUGGGGAGGUGGUUCUGCUUUAACAUCCUAUUAGCACAUGAUCUUCAGCUUCCCAAGCUUCCCUGGGUUCCAAACCUACAGGUGGUGAUCGUGGGUGGGAAGGAGGUUGGGUAAGAUGCUCCUCAGUUGGGAGGCAAAGCUGUUGGCGCCUCCUGGCUUGAUGAUUUUGCAAUUGGCUCUUGCUGGCGCUGCCCCUGCUGUUCCCUCCCUGGGAGAUGCAGGCAUGCCUUGGGACUGACUGCAUGCGCGGAGCGAAAGCCAUGCGGAGCAGGAUCCACCCUAGAGGAUUAGAAUCACGGAUUUAAGCAUCUGCCCUCAGGGAACUGCGUGCUCUUUGACGGAAGGGAAGUCCUGUCUCUUGUCCAGGUAACCCAGACCCCCCCCAUCGAGUGUCUAAUGCAGAGUUGGUGCCACCCCAUGAAAUGGAAACACUGGGGAGACUUGAGGACAGAGAUUUGGUAGUGAAGGGCUAAAUCCUAAAACCCACACGCCUCUUAGCGCUGCGAUGUCCCACCAUCUCUCAGAAGGAGGUGUUUCUGUUACUGCCCUGAGGCUGAUGUGAUGAUCCAGAAAGACAUGGUGCUAGAAAUUCCAUGUGACAUCAACUGCAAAGAUGGAACCCAGCUGUAAUAUUCUAGAAGCCAUUGGCUUGUUGUAUGACGUUGGGCAAACUGAACCACGGCCGUGAACCCCAGCAGUCCAAUGAGGAGGUUGGAAACUGACAUAUCAGGUCCUUUACUUUUUUUUGAAAUUCCUGGAAUUUCNNNNNNNNNNNNNNNNNNNNNNNNNNNNNNNNNNNNNNNNNNN
rnacentral:lncRNA from 1 species